rnacentral:rRNA from 1 species
CGCAUCUGUGCAUGCAGCAUAUCAAUAAGCGGAGGAAAAGAAACUAACAAGGAUUCCCUUAGUAACGGCGAGUGAAGCGGGAAGAGCUCAAAUUUGAAAUCUUCAAGGUUUUACCUUGACGAAUUGUAGUUUAAAGAAGUGUUUUCUGUUGAAGUUUUGGUAAAAGUUCUUUGGAAUAGGACAUCAUAGAGGGUGAGAAUCCCGUAUUUGACCAUUAUUUUCAGCUGUGUGAUACACUUUCAAAGAGUCGGAUUGUUUGGGAAUGCAGUCCAAAAUGGGUGGUAAAUUUCAUCUAAAGCUAAAUAUUGGCGAGAGACCGAUAGCGAACAAGUACCGUGAGGGAAAGAUGAAAAGAACUUUGAAAAGAGAGUUAAACAGUACGUGAAAUUGUCAAAAGGGAAGCGUUUGACACCAGUGUUGUUUUCUCGAAAAUCAAUUAAAAAGAGUUUGAUUUUGUUGUGUAUUGACCUUAACAGCUUGCAUUUCAAUUUUCUUGCUUUUUUUAAUGCACUUUUCGUUUAACAAGUCAACAUCAGUUUCUUUUGUUGUAAAAAGGUCAUUGGAAGGUGGCUUUCUUUUCGGAGAAAGUGUUUAUAGCCUUUGACUCCUGCAAUCGGAGAGACUGAGGUCUGCAGCGUAGAUCCUUCGGGGUUAGAUACAUUUGUGCUAAGUUAUAGCUUUUUAUAGACAACUUGUUGACUAUGAUUAGUCUUGUAGCUUACUCGCUUAUGCUAUUUUACCUACGCUUAGGAUGUUGACGCGCGUGUGUGCGUGAUCUAUACAUGACUCUGUGCAUAUCAAUAAGCGGAGGAAAAGGUACCUACGCUUAGGAUGUUGACGCGCGUGUGUGCGUG